rnacentral:rRNA from 1 species
CAAAUUUUGAUCUGAAAUCAGGUAGGAUUACCCGCUGAACUUAAGCAUAUCAAUAAGCGGAGGAAAAGAAACUAACAAGGAUUCCCUCAGUAACGGCGAGUGAAGCGGGAAGAGCUCAAAUUUAAAAUCUGGUUUGCUUGCAAGCCCGAGUUGUAGUCUGAAGAAACGUUUUCCAUAAGCACUGAGGCAAAAGUCCCUUGGAACAGGGCAUCAUAGAGGGUGAGAAUCCCGUCCAUGGUCUCAAGUUGUUUAUUUUGUGAUACGUUUUCAAAGAGUCAGGUUGUUUGGGAAUGCAGCCUAAAAUGGGUGGUAAAUUUCAUCUAAAGCUAAAUAUUGGCGAGAGACCGAUAGCGAACAAGUACCGUGAGGGAAAGAUGAAAAGAACUUUGAAAAGAGAGUUAAAAAGUACGUGAAAUUGUUGAAAGGGAACCGUUUGAAGCCAGUCUUACUUGCCUGUGAUCAAUUUUUGCUUCGGCAUGAAUGCACUCUCGGGUAUGGUAGGCCAACGACAGUUUGGAAUGCGAGAAAAAA